GCCUACUAGGUAGACAGUUACCAGCUAGCUUAAGGAGGUAUAUAUGGACAAAUUGUACGCUAUGCUCUAGUUCGCUGAGUAGCACUGCUUUCAGAACACAUGAAAAAGCCAUGAGGAAUAAAUAUGGCAAGAGUGUAUCUAAAGGUAAACUACAGCUGAAGAUACAGAAUGCAACAGAGACCCCAGUUAACAGACUCAUCAGUAAGUCUGUAGCAGAGGUGAUGGAAAAGACUCCUAGCAUGCAAUCCUACCAGACAUUGAGUUUAAAG